AAAUUAUCAGGUGAGCCGGGACAGCCUUCUUCCUCCGCCCAGCCGCCUCAGUGACCACCGUCAAGUCUGCCACAGGAGGAUAUUUUUGAGGUUAACCUGCUUUUCUCCCUCGCAGGUCAUUUAUUUAUGUUUGUGUAAUUCUAUAAACUCCUAGAAUUUUCGCAUGUGUUAGAAAUAUUUAUUUGAUUUGGGUCUGUAAACUAAAUUAUUAUUGUGGACCUGUAAAAUUAUUAUAUGCAUGUUUGAUGGACUGGAUGAGGGAGCUGAGCUCCCAUUUAUCUUUAUGAUGAUAUGAGUA